CGGGGAGUAGCGCAGCUCGGUUAGCGCGUCUGUUUUGGGAACAGAAGGUCGAGAGUUCAAAUCUCUCCUCCCCGACCA
rnacentral:tRNA from 1 species